UGAGCGUGCGUGGACGUGCGCGCCCCCGCCGCCUGUGCCGGUGCUGCUCCCGCGCCCUCUGCCGCCGCUGCCCCAGCCGCCGCCGCCGCCGCCGCCUCCUCCCCCACCCUCGACCCCCGGGGUUCCCGAGACGCAGCCCCGGCUGAGGAGGAGCGCGUCGGCCGGCUGCCCAGCAGCGCCGCGGAGCUGAGGAGCGGAGCCGCGGAACGGCGGGCGGGCGGGCGGGCGGACAGAUUAGCCUACCAUGGCAGACCAGAGACAGCGCUCACUCUCUACCUCUGGGGAAUCACUCUACCAUGUUCUGGGGCUGGACAAGAAUGCAACCUCAGAUGACAUUAAAAAGUCCUAUCGAAAACUUGCCUUGAAAUACCACCCUGACAAGAACCCCGAUAACCCGGAGGCGGCAGACAAGUUCAAGGAGAUCAACAACGCCCACGCCAUCCUGACGGACGCCACAAAAAGAAACAUCUACGACAAGUACGGGUCGCUGGGGCUCUACGUGGCCGAGCAGUUUGGAGAGGAGAACGUGAACACCUACUUUGUGCUCUCCAGCUGGUGGGCCAAGGCGCUGUUUGUCGUGUGCGGCCUCCUCACCUGCUGCUACUGCUGCUGCUGCCUCUGCUGCUGCUUCAACUGCUGCUGCGGGAGGUGCAAGCCCAGGGCGCCCGCGGGCGAGGACGCCGGCUUCUACGUGUCCCCCGAGGACCUGGAGGCACAGCUGCAGUCGGACGAGCGGGGAGGGCACUGACACGGUGCCGCAGUGUUUGUGGUGGUCGCUGGGACUGUUGAGGUGUGAACGUGGACACUUGAGAGGCCGCAGACACGCCGAUUGUCAUACAGCCAGCGUCCGCCACAGAGACCACCCAGCUCACGGCCGACUCCCACCCCAGCUACCACACCGACGGGUUCAACUAAGUUCCGGAGCCGCUGUGAUAGAGGAUAGCCCAGCACCCGGCCACUUCACCCUUAGAAUCAUGAACUGUAGCCGCAGAGAUGGGGAGGGGGCUGCCCUGGCCACGGAGGAGGGGCAGCCGCCAGCCCGCCGGGGCCCUUCCCACCUCUGUGCCCGCCCGCCCGUCGCCCCCCAACACGUGAAGUGCGUCGCAUGCAGUAUUUAAAGCAGUGUAGCUACGGUCCUCUUCUGUUCUCUCCUUUUUUAAUAGCAUGUCUGGGGCCACGUUCCGUGUGUGUCUGUGUUGUGGGCGCGCCGCCGUGUGGCCGCGUGAACCAGACGCCGAAGCAGUCUCGGGGCUCACGAGUGGCCGCACCGGCCGUGGCUGCUGCGUAGGGUCUCCCAGCCGGGCAGGCUGGGGCCAGAAGGGUGGCUCCUUCCCCUGUGUUGGUGGCGGCCAGAGGCGGGUUCUGGCCGGCGGCAGCUGUGAGGUCCAGUCCCUGUCCCGGCUCGCCAGCCGUGUGGUCACAGCCAGAGCCUCUGGACGCGUUCGUUGCCUGGGAGGAGCUGGGCACGUCCUCCCUCCGCCCAGCGCUGGUGGCCUGUUCGUGCUGUGGGUUUGUGCGGGGCCGUUUGCCUUGGUGGCUUGGCCUCGUGGCUGGGUUUUCCUUUGGGUGAGUUUGUCAUGGAACGUGUCGCAGGCUCUGCCGACCCCAAGAUCGCGUUUUCUGCCCGGAUGCGGCCCGGGUCUCCGUGGCACGCGGUCCCUGGCCAGGCUGCGGGACGUGGUUCUUCCGCACUCCCACUCUCGUGCCCCGGCCACAUUCCAGCCACCUGCCCUCCCCUCGGGUCACCCUCCACAUUCCUUCAGGCCCGCCCGGGCCUCCUGGUGGGCCUUUCUGGGCCUGGAAGAACCACAAGUGGUGGUGGUGAGCCAGUUUGUUGUCAGAGGGGCUGACCGUCCAGGUCCAGGUUGCUGGCGGAGCAGGGCCGAGCGGCUCUGGGAAGCACAGUGGUGAGCACAGCCCUCUUCUCUGCGCUUCCCAGAGCUCCUGCCCUCCUUCCUUCGCCCGUUCCCUUCGGCCGCCGUUGAUGGUUCAGGCGGCGCUAGAGACGUCAGGUUCCCAGAGGAGGCGGCACCUGGACCGAAGGUGCGCCUGGUGCCCUUGGCUGGUGAGCCAGCAGCCGGACUGUGGGAUGGAUCCUCCUCUCACCGCUGUGUUGAGCGGCACCUUUUGUGGAGCUGGAAGUCAGUCUUGUCUGUGCCCCGGAACUCGUGGGUGACGCCCCUGCCGCGGGGACUGAGGAGACGUGGGUUAUGAUGUGCCCGUGCCGGCCCAGAGUUGAGAGUUGCCCCACACCCCCAGCGCCACCGGAUGUGCUGUGGCUCCCUGCUGGGCCUGCACUGGCCGGUGGAGACCCAUGGGGCCCACGUGGGCUUGGCUGCUGCGGAGUGCGUCCUGGAUUUGCAGAUGAAGGACGAGGACGACGCCGGCUCAGACGUACCAGGUCGUGCUCCUGACGCCCGCGGCCUCCACCCCCUCCCGCCCGCCCGCCCGCGGAGCCCUCGCUUGUCUGCCACCGGGGCCUUGAGGAGAGCAGGUUCUUGUUGUUGGCCAGGAAGUGGCCGGAGGGAUAGCAGCGUGAGGACAGAAUGCGGAUGCGCUCGGAGAGCAGCCGUGUGAGGGCGGAGCCAGCACCAGGCCCCUGGGCAGGUGUUUGAUCCCAUUUUGUUGUUUUUUUGUCCAUUAAAAUGAUUGUGAAGACGUCCAACGAGAGAGAAAGUAUGCACUGUGAUUUUAAAUUAGAAAUCAUUCGCUAAAAUCUGACCUCGUGAAAGGCUAAGAAAUUCAUUGCCGGCUCUGGGACCAGGGAGGAGGUAAGACCACAGAGCUGUUCUCUGCCAGUCCCAACACGGCAGCGAGAUGGAGCCUGAGAGGCAGGCUGUGGUCGGCCUUUGUGACGUUCUGGAAAUACCUUUGGGAGCUGUUUUUCCCCCAGAAUGGCCAAGAACUAACUUCAAAGCCUGGACUUAAGGUAGAAAGCCUCCCCCUCUGCUGCUGGGACCUGCAGGGGACCAUGCACCUCUGUGCUCAAAAAAACCCUGGGGCCACUGCAUGCGUCUGGGAGCCCCUCGCCAAGUGUCCUCCAGCCACAGGACGGGACACUGUCCUGGGGGCCGGGGUGGGUGGGUGUUGCAAGAGGGGCCGGGCAGGAAGUUUGUCCGACCAGUCCUUUGAAGAAUGUGUGUAGUCGAAGUGAAUCGUGGCAGUGAGGACGGUGACGAUUGCCCAGGGGCCUGGGGUUCUCCCCGCCUGGCCCUGACUUGGCGAUUCUGAAUGAGAGCCCCCCCCCCCCCCCCCCCCCCCGGGGUGUGCUCACUGUCAGCCCUGGGCGUGUUCCCUUUUUCUGGAGUGUUCUGUGUGUUUCCCUGCUGUGCACUUGCUGAGUCUGGAGGGGCACCCUGUUCACUGGCCACAUGGGGGCGACUGUCUGCCUGCUGCGCAGCUGUGAGAGCUCCUGGCUCUAGGACACCCCCACCCCACCCCCGCUUCCUUUCCCGUGCCCCCCCCCCCCCCCGGUCCCCUUCUCCCCUCCCCCUCCCUCUUUUCCCUCCCUACAACCCCCGUGCCUUCCCACCCACCGCCCGCUUCCCCCCUCCACUUACCUCCCCUGCUUCCCUCCCCCACACACCCACCCCCCUCGAGCCAAGGCCAUGUGUGGCCAGAGAGCGCCGGGCCAGUGUGGGCUGGAGCCCGUCCUGUUCCACAAAGCGCAGGGCUUGCCCAGAUGCCCUCAGGGGCCUGGCAGCAGCGACCGCUUCAGGAUGGCAGGAAACACGCAGGAGACUCGCGGGGCGUCUGAUGGUGGCUGCUGGUGUUUGCGUUCUGUUCCUGCCCCGUGAUGUGGUCUUCUUUCCUUUCUCUUGUCUUCCUUUGGCUUUGUUCUGUUUUCAAACUGCUUUAGAUAUGACCGCUCGGCGUGUGAGCUUUCCUAGUUCCCUGGUCAGUCAGCGCUGUUUGGCACCCAUGGGGACCCACUGGAGAAGAAGCCAGAGUGUGCUGGGGUUAGAGCAGGUGGCGUUUCCACACCCUUGACCACCAGGUGUGGCCACGAGGCUCCUGCUCCAGGAAAGGCCUGUUCCCACGAGUUCUGACGGCAGGGGGGCCGUCGGGUGAGCUCCUGCCGGAGGAGUGCCCGCUGGCCGUCUGGGAGACGCUGGGGUGACACCACCAGCAGGUGGGCUGGGCGCCUGCCCGCGGGCUCCCACCGGGGGUGGCGGGGGGCCCUGCCCGGCCUCCCCCGGCUCUCGGCAGAUCCCACCAGAGGGACGGACGUGAGGGUGUGGGAGGAGCGACCUCAUUCCUUUCUCAACACGCUGAUCUGUGAGCCCGUGUGACACAGGACCGCCCUGUUUGUUUUUGUUACUUUGGUUGUGAACCCUCCUGUGGAAUUGGCGAAAGCUACGUUUUUACUGUCCUUACGAGCACGGUUGGCGUUGUCUGUGCUGUAGGUGUGGGCAGUGGGUGUGUGUGUGUGUGUGUGUGUGUGUACAUAUGUGAAUAUGUAUAUAUCCCGCGGCAGGCGUGACUGCUGCUGCCCAGCGGCAACAAGUACAAUAAAAGCUGGCCCCAAAACGGCCUUGGGUUUCCUGGUGAGUUGGGUCAAGAGCAGGGUCUUGGAGGCAGGUAGGCUCCUUCGCCGGGUGCGCAGAAGUGAACACCGACCCACUUGUGUCCCUAGGGUUUGUGUGAACGGCCAGGUAGGGUGCCAGGGCUACCGUGGUGGACCAUCCCCCAGUGCCACCCCCAUCUCUGGGGGCCCACCCUUCGUGCUCACCUGACACUCCAGUGAGUGACCCUUUGGGACCUCCAGGUGGCUGGAAAUCUUCCCUCCCUCGAAACAUUAAAACCAGUUUUCUAAGCAUAGGAUACAGCCCAUGACAAAUGCAUUCUAGAGGGGAUGCUGUCUCCUGCCCACAGGUCUGCUUUGGGAGGGGUCCACUGGGAAGGAGCAGGGGCCACAAGGGGCCACCCUCCAGGAAGGGGCUGGGCUCAGGGUCCACAGGCAGUACCUUUCGCAAAUUUUGUUUCCCUAGGAAAUGGGACAAUGUUUCAAGCUAAGAGAGGGAAGGCAGUUCACUCUGGAAUAGACACGUGUGUGUGUGUGUGUAUAUAUACAUUGUUUUUAAAUACUAAAUACAAAUGCAUGGAAACAGCCGUCCAUGCGCCGGUUUUGUCCUGUUGCUGGAACCCACAGAGGUGGGCAGGUGCCCCUGACCCCGGCUCCCACGUGCACCCUUGAGGGCCAGGCUGGAGGGUUAGGAUGGGUCCCGUGAUGAUCUCCAUUUCGUAUGUCUGAAUGUUGACCUUAAAAUAAAGAUAACUGUUGUAAAAUAAAUGUUUUCACCGCAAA